rnacentral:tmRNA from 1 species
GGGGCCUUAAUGGUUUCGACGUGUUGGCGAAAGCCGCCCCGUGAUUCAGGUCGAGAGUGAGUCUUCUCUCGAUAAUACCGGACUCAAAAAAAACGUAACUGCGAACAACAUCGUUCCUUUUGCUCGUAAGGCCGCUCCUGUAGCUGCUUAAUAACCUCUAACUGGUUCGAGCGUCUGUAGUUUGACUCCGUUAAGGAUUACAGACAAACCCCAACGGAUGCUCUAGUAAGUUUCCUUUGGUAGGCUUACUAGAUAAGACUUCACCAAAGCAUCCUGUCAUCCGGGAUAAUGGAUGGUUCCCGCCCUGAGGAUUAGAUGGGCUAAACCUGUGAAUGAGCGGUAGGUAAAUAACCAGGGCGGACACGGGUUCAAUUCCCGUAGGCUCCACUU